CACUGAACACUUUAAAACACACACAUGCUAUAAAAACACACACUUUCCACAAUCCUCCCCCUGUAAACUCUGCAACAGCUGGAGCUCAGCGUUUAUAAAGUGUGUGUUCAGUGUGAGUUUAUUAAGUGUGUGUUUAGUUUGAGUUUAUAAAGUGUGUGUUCUAACUGGAGCGCAGUUCCCAUGUGUUUGAGUGUGUGUGAGUGUGUGUGUGUGUGUGUUUUGCUAUAAUGUGCUCCAUAUGUCCCUGAACUGAUCCUAAAUCAGCUGCAGUCUGAAAGACUGAGAUCAGACUCACAGUAAACCACUGACCUACACACACACACACACACUAUUUAACACUAACCCUCGUGUGUCCUCAGCGCUGCUGCCGCUGUUCCUGGAUCAGUGCAGCACGGAGGGUUUCUUCCGCUGUGUGUCUCAGGUCCUCCGUAACCCUCGUCUGGAGCCGCCGCUGCUGGAGAAGAUGCUCAUGAUCCUCCAGAAGCUCUCCUGCAUCCGGAAGAACAAGCGUCUGUUUGAAGCGGCGUCACUGCACUUGUUCCUGCAGGAGAUGCACAGAACCACCGACCGCGGUCAAGCCUUCAUCAGCAUGAACCUGAGCUCCAUUCUGCUCAAUCUGGGCAUGCUCACACGCUCAUAACACACUUAAAACAUGCUUAAAGCAUGAAAAAACACACACUUCAAAACAUACACAAACAUGCUGAUAAUGUGCUCAUCAACACUGUGUCAUGCAGCUCUGUGCCUGGAAUGUUUUUAUUUAUAUUUGUAUGAAAUUUAAUCAUGUCUGUUUAUAUUUAAUAAAUGCAAAGUUGCCUCAACAGAAAUA